rfam:Apaloderma vittatum contig34090, whole genome shotgun sequence.
AGCCCGUUAGCUCAGUCGGUUAGAGUCUGGUGCUAAUAACGCCAAGGUCACAGGUUCGAUCCCCGUAAGGGCCA